rnacentral:misc_RNA from 1 species
CGCACAUUGCGCCCUCUGGCAUUCCGGAGGGCAUACCUGCUCGAGCGUCAUAUACCUCCCUCAAGCCCACGCUUGGUCGUGAGCCCGUCGUUCUUCAACACAGAACGUACCUCAGAACACGUCGCGAUUCGGAUCAACUUUGCAAGCGUAGUCAAUAUCUUCCCGCUUGGAAAAAGUCGACGCCGCGUCCGUUUGCAACCGAUGGAACGAUCGAUUGACCUCGGAUCAGGUAGGAGUACCCGCUGAACUUAA